rnacentral:rRNA from 1 species
AGAGUUUGAUCCUGGCUCAGAACGAACGCUGGCGGCAUGCCUAACACAUGCAAGUCGAACGAGACCUUCGGGUCUAGUGGCGCACGGGUGCGUAACGCGUGGGAAUCUACCCUUGGGUUCGGAAUAACAGUUAGAAAUGACUGCUAAUACCGGAUGAUGACGAAAGUCCAAAGAUUUAUCGCCCAAGGAUGAGCCCGCGUAGGAUUAGCUAGUUGGUGAGGUAAAGGCUCACCAAGGCUACGAUCCUUAGCUGGUCUGAGAGGAUGAUCAGCCACACUGGGACUGAGACACGGCCCAGACUCCUACGGGAGGCAGCAGUGGGGAAUAUUGGACAAUGGGCGAAAGCCUGAUCCAGCAAUGCCGCGUGAGUGAUGAAGGCCUUAGGGUUGUAAAGCUCUUUUACCCGGGAUGAUAAUGACAGUACCGGGAGAAUAAGCUCCGGCUAACUCCGUGCCAGCAGCCGCGGUAAUAC